GCUCACUGGUUUCAUACUCCUUGACUCGGUAUUCAGCUCCAAUUUUCGUUCUGUUUAACUGAAAGGACUGCAUGGUUCACAGAGACCUGGAAAUACAACCAUUAGAAUUAAAUUGCCACGCGAGAGUGCCCUGAUGAUCUUCACAAAGAUGCAGAACCCAUGUGCUUUUGGAGUUGUUUUAGCACCCCGUUUGGAGCCAAACAGUCUCACAACUCCCAUGAUGACAUCAGCUUUUUUUUACACCUCUUAAAGUAACAACAUGAGUUUUGUCUUCCAAAGGGUAAUUUUGAUUUCUUACAAAGCUUUUGCAAAAUUAUGGAAUUUUUGAGUUCUAGAACCAUGUAGUCAUCAUUGAAGCAUGUAGAACACAACACUAGGAAAAAUGGAAAGGCUCCUUAUUGGAGGGAUGGGCUGAAGAACAAGGACGGUGUCAAGAUGGGCAUUUUUUCUGUGCAUAGCGAAUUGGGAGGCAAGGAAAACUGCUGAAAAAAAUUGACGAUGUACCUUAAGUUGAAAAGCUGACUUCCACCUCCUGGGCAACGUGGCUCGGGGUUGUGCUCAGCUAAGACAAAACUGAUGUCAACACCAGGAAUGAAGGA